CACACAAAACUCUGUGUACCAGAGAGACUGAUAACUGUCCCUGACAGGUGCAACAAAACCAACAGGAGAGAUGUCUGUCAAGCUCAGUCUGUACACACCCACACAGUCUUGAGAUCUAAUCAGUCAGUGUUAAGUCAAAACACCUGUGUGGGUGAAAAGUGGGCGUGUACAGGCUUUAUCACAUGUGUUCACAGCCUGACCCUCAGUCAGGUGGCUCUGUAUAGAGUUCAUAUGGAGACUGUCUUUAAACUUCUGUAUUCCAGGCAGAUUACCGCCAUGUAUACAGUCCGGUAUGUGGCAGUGUUUCUGUGAGAUAGCUUUCUACUGUUCAACACUGAAGUACCUCACAUGGGCACUUUUGCAAAUCACUGUCUCUCUUGGAUUAACUGCUGAGGCUGGAGUGAAACCACCCUGAACAUUUGAAGAUUCUGCACUUUGGUCAGCGUUUGAAAAAAAAUCUGAGACCUCUCACCUGGAAUCUCCUGCUGUUCCCUCUCCUCUUUACUGGAGAAACUCACCACGUUGAGCAGCAUGAUGAUGCAGAAGUUGAUGCAGACUGCCGUGCCCGUGGUCGCCACCUGAGAGUUGUUCCUGAUGAGAGCCCAGCCGAAGGCGGCGAAGGUGCUGACGGUGAUCACACGGUGCAGAAAUACCAAAUCUUAAAUGACAACAUGGAGUGACAGUUUUACCUCCUCUUCCUCCCAGUCAAUGAGGUCCCAGUCGUAUGCGAGGACAGCUCUGCGUCUUUUCCAGAACUCCAGGAAGACCGUUGCUGAAACA